UACGAAGGGGGCUAGCGUUGCUCGGAAUCACUGGGCGUAAAGGGUGCGUAGGCGGGUCUUUAAGUCAGGGGUGAAAUCCUGGAGCUCAACUCCAGAACUGCCUUUGAUACUGAAGAUCUUGAGUCCGGGAGAGGUGAGUGGAACUGCGAGUGUAGAGGUGAAAUUCGUAGAUAUUGGGAAGAACACCGGUGGCGAAGGCGGCUCUCUGGACCGAACCUGACGCUGAGGCGCGAAAGCGUGGGGAGCAAACAGG
rnacentral:rRNA from 1 species